ensembl:lncRNA
UUCUAUGUGAUGGCGGCUCUAUGUGAUGGCGGUUAUAUGUGAUGGCGGUUCUAUGUGAUGGUGGUUCUAUGUGAUGAUGGUUCUAUGUGGCGGUGAUUCUAUGUGCUGGCGGUUCUAUGUGAUGGUGGUUCUAUGUGAUGGUGGUUCUGUGAUGGUGGUUCUAUGUGAUGGUGGUCAUGGCGGUUCUAUGUGAUGGUGGUUCUAUGUGAUGGCGGUUCUAUGUGAUGGUGGUUCUAUGUGAUGGCGGUUCUAUGUGAUGGUUGUGCUAUGUGAUGGUUGUUCUAUGUGCUGGCGGUUCUAUGUGAUGGUGGUUCUAUGUGAUGGUGGUUCUAUGUGAUGGUUGUUCUGUGAUGGUGGUUCUAUGUGAUGGCGGUUCUAUGUGAUGGUUGUUCUAUGUGAUGGUGUUUCUAUGUGAUGGUGGUUAUUUGUGAUGGUGGUUCUAUGUGAUGGUGGUGAUGGCGGUUCUAUGUGAUGGUGGUUCUAUGUGAUGGUGGUGAUGGCGGUUCUAUGUGAUGGUGGUUCUAUGUGAUGGUGGUUCUAUGUGAUGGUGGUGAUGGCGGUUCUAUGUGAUGGUGGUUCUAUGUGAUGGUGGUGAUGGCGGUUCUAUGUGAUGGUGGUUCUAUGUGAUGGUGGUUCUAUGUGAUGGUGGUGAUGGCGGUUCUAUGUGAUGGUGGUUCUAUGUGAUGGCGGUUCUAUGUGAUGGUGGUGAUGGCGGUUCUAUGUGAUGGCGGUUCUAUGUGAUGGUGGUGAUGGCGGUUCUAUGUGAUGUGGUUCUAUGUGAUGUGAAGUGGUCCUGUCUACAUCUGGUUUACUUGUUUGAAUCAUUUCUGUCGUACAAAUUGUUCAUCUUUUUCUUUUAUUCAUUUUUCAUGUUCUCACACACGAGGCGGACUUCCUGUCCCAGUGCGUGUUUGAUGAGUAACCGCGGCGAUCACACACCUGGACUUACAUCUGCCGGCACCAGCGAGGUGGAGGCACGUUGAUGAGAUCUCACUCAUCUGAUGACACACAGAAGUCACGACAUCACUUCCUGUCUGCGCCGCUCUCCUCGACCAGUCGGCAGGUGAAGGUCCUGUUUUAUUCAUUUAAAGAGUAAAAAACAAAAUAAUUCAGUUAUUUAUCAACAUCUGGCGCAAUAAUAAGACUUUCAUAAAAGCACCAAGCCGGAGACGCUUUAUCACCACUAACAUCCUUCAUAGAGGAUUAAUGUCCAGACUGAACGACACGUCGUAUCAGUGGUUGAGUCGUGUGUCUCCCUUGUGCUUUUUGUCUUGUCAUCCAGUCCAAUGAGACAAUGAGAGACACUGAAACACUCUGCUGAGCUAACGUUAGCAUCAGACAUCGCUCACCAGCCUGACAGAGGAUGACGUCGUCGCUUACAGGGACUUUUCCACGUUAACGAUGACCAUGAAAGGAAGCGUGUGUGUUUGUGUGUGAGGCCACAGUGUGCGGGUGUGUGUCAACACCUGUAAAUCCUCCAGACAUGAUUAAUCAGCACCGAACGUCUGUGUGUGUGUGUGUGUGUGUGUGUGUGUGUGUGUGUGUGUGUGUAGCAGACCUACAGGAGAUGACACUUGUUUUUAGGUGGGCUGCUUUACCAUAACACACACAUGAACACACACACUCAUUGCUAAUGGAGGAAUGUACUCAGACAAACACACACACACACAGACACACACACAGCUGGUGGCCCUCAGACCAGCAGGGUGCCAGUUUGAUACUGAUACUGAUUGUUACUGUCAAUCAAUAUCAAUCAAUUAACGAUAGCACAUGACUGUGAACAUACAGAGCCAGAUGUUCUGCUCUAAUGUCAGAUGUUCUGCUCUAGGUCAGAUGUUGUGCUCUAGGUCAGAUGUUCUGUCCUAGGUCAGAUGUUGUGCUCUAGGUCAGAUGUUCUGUCCUAGGUCAGAUGUUCUGCUCUAAUGUCAGAUGUUCUGUCCUAUGUCAGAUCUUCUGCUCUAAUGGCAGAUGUUCUGCUCUAAUGUCAGAUGUUCUGUCCUAUGUCAGAUCUUCUGCUCUAAUGGCAGAUGUUCUGCUCUAAUGUCAGAUGUUCUGUCCUAGGUCAGAUGUUCUGCUCUAAUGUCAGAUGUUCUUUGGUGACUCCCAAUGAACGGACCCAUUGAUCGGUCAGGUCCACUGAGUGCUGAGUUUCUGGCUUCAUGCCGGUUGCCAUUGUUGGAUUUCUUUGGUUGGAAUCAGGUCACAUGGCGUCCAAAUAAUAAAAAAAUGGGAUCCCAGAAAAUCUGGAGAAAUAAAUUAUUUUGGUGUGACGUAUCACACGGGGGGAGGGAGGAGGUCUGAGUCUCCUCCAGGUUCCCUCACUGAUGUGAGUCACUAUUGAAGGCCUCCAGGGUGCAGAAGAAAAGAAAUGAUGCUUUCAUAUUGAGCCUGAAGCGAGUCCCUCACAGCUUCCACGUGAUCUCCUCUCAGUCAGGAAGCCUGUUAGAUGUUAGAUGUCCCUCAUGCACAGCAAGUCUCCUCACAACCUGAGACAUGAAAUGAAACACCUCCAGCCACUUGGAACGUGCGCCCAGAGAGAGGGUGUGUGUGUGUAUGUGUGUGUGUGUGUGUGUGUGUGUGUGUCGUGUGUGUGUGCGCAUGUGUGUGUGCGUGCGUGUGUGUGUGUGUGUGCUGGAGUUCUUGUGAACUUGUUAAAGUGGUUCUCUGGCUUUAAUGGAGGCCUGAGGUCACACCUAAGAAGUCUUAUUGAGAACGAUUUAUUUAAGUACUUCAAUUAAAGUAGAACUUUGUUAACGGGGUUCAAAUCCAUCAUAAAUGCACGUUUGAUUUAAGAACGUUAUUAGUUGACUCCAGGAUUUCAUCGUCACUCAGUGUCUUAUUGAUCAUAUUUCUACUCAUAAAGGCUCCUUCGUGUAACAUGAAGGUCUCCACAAAUUGAACCGUAUUACAAGUAAGAUUUAAUUGUUUAACACAAGAUGGGAAAUGAUCGUUGGGGGAGUCAAACACACACAAGCGUCGGGCAGGUUUCAUCAACCAGACUCUACUAGAGGUUUCACGUCUUCUUCAACACAGCGUGAUGUUCAUUGAGUAAAUGAUGGUCCAUUCAGAGUCAAACAGACUUUAGGCCGGGGCUACACGCUGAUUGACAGGUCUCUACCUAACUACGGUCAUUUCCUGUUCAGUGGAUGGUCAGUAAACAGUGGAGAUACAGAGAGUAUAUUAAUAUGUAACAUUAGAAUCCACCCAAUGAACAGCAAGGCCAACCACAGACCAGAAUGCACUGCAGCGACCCCCCAGGUGCAGAGGGGGGGAUGCGGGUUCACCAGAGUGCGUCGGGGCUGAGAAGAACCUCCAGUCUGCCUCUUCAAACGAGUUGAAUCGAGUUGAAACGAGUUGAAACGCUCCUCCAAGUCGAGGCUCUUAAACUGACGGGAAUUCCCCGGCGGACUCGAAUGCGGCAUCAUCAUUAUUCCGUCUGCUUUGAACCCCCUCUCCCCUUCUCCCGCUGGGGCUCUACGGGAUGACAGGAGGCUCUGCUGCAUGAACUUCACCUGAACUCACCUGGUGGGUUCAUGUUCUAGAUCAGAGGUCUUCAACAUAUAUAUAUACAUAUAUAUAUAUAUAUAUAUAUAUAUAUAUAUAUAUAUAUGCAUAUAUAUACAUAUAUUACAUAUAU